GGGAAAUUGGCGCAGCGGUAGCGCAGCUGCUUUACACGCAGUUGGUCACUGGUUCGAUCCCAGUAUUUCCCA
rnacentral:tRNA from 1 species